GUGGAUAUAGUGUAACGGUAGCAUGAGAGUCUUCCAAACUCUGGGUGCGAGUUCGAGUCUCGCUGUCCAUACCA
rnacentral:tRNA from 1 species